AGCUUGCUCUUAUGAAGUUAGCGGCGGACGGGUGAGUAACACGUGGGUAACCUGCCCAUAAGACUGGGAUAACUCCGGGAAACCGGGGCUAAUACCGGAUAACAUUUUGAACUGCAUGGUUCGAAAUUGAAAGGCGGCUUCGGCUGUCACUUAUGGAUGGACCCGCGUCGCAUUAGCUAGUUGGUGAGGUAACGGCUCACCAAGGCAACGAUGCGUAGCCGACCUGAGAGGGUGAUCGGCCACACUGGGACUGAGACACGGCCCAGACUCCUACGGGAGGCAGCAGUAGGGAAUCUUCCGCAAUGGACGAAAGUCUGACGGAGCAACGCCGCGUGAGUGAUGAAGGCUUUCGGGUCGUAAAACUCUGUUGUUAGGGAAGAACAAGUGCUAGUUGAAUAAGCUGGCACCUUGACGGUACCUAACCAGAAAGCCACGGCUAACUACGUGCCAGCAGCCGCGGUAAUACGUAGGUGGCAAGCGUUAUCCGGAAUUAUUGGGCGUAAAGCGCGCGCAGGUGGUUUCUUAAGUCUGAUGUGAAAGCCCACGGCUCAACCGUGGAGGGUCAUUGGAAACUGGGAGACUUGAGUGCAGAAGAGGAAAGUGGAAUUCCAUGUGUAGCGGUGAAAUGCGUAGAGAUAUGGAGGAACACCAGUGGCGAAUGCGACUUUCUGGUCUGUAACUGACACUGAGGCGCGAAAGCGUGAGGAGCAAACAGGAUUAGAUACCCUGGUAGUCCACGCCGUAAACGAUGAGUGCUAAGUGUUAGAGGGUUUCCGCCCUUUAGUGCUGAAGUUAACGCAUUAAGCACUCCGCCUGGGGAGUACGGCCGCAAGGCUGAUACUCAAAGGAAUUGACGGGGGCCCGCACAAGCGGGGGGAGCAUGGGGUUUAAUUCCGAAGCACGCGAAAGAACCUUAACCAGGUCUUGACAUCCCUCCUGAAACCCUAGAGAUAGGGAUUCUCCCUUCCGGGAGCAAGAGUGACAGGGGGUGGAAUGGGUUGGUCGUCAGCUCCGUGUCGUGAGAUGAUGGUGUAAGUACUCGUCCACGAAGCGCGACCCUUUGAAUCUUACUGGCAUCACUAAAGUUAGGCACCUCCUAAGGCUGGACUGACGGCGUGACCAACUC
rnacentral:rRNA from 1 species